rnacentral:rRNA from 1 species
UACGGGGGGGGCAAGCGUUGUUCGGAAUUACUGGGCGUAAAGGGCUCGUAGGUGGCCAACUAAGUCAGACGUGAAAUCCCUCAGCUUAACUGGGGAACUGCGUCUGACACUGGAUGGCUUGAGAUUGGGAGAGGGAUGCGGAAUUCCAGGUGUAGCGGUGAAAUGCGUAGAUAUCUGGAGGAACACCGGUGGCGAAGGCGGCAUCCUGGACCAGCACUGACACUGAGGAGCGAAAGCCAGGGGAGCAAACGGG